rnacentral:rRNA from 1 species
AAAGGGCCGCGGUAUACUGACCGUGCGAAGGUAGCAUAAUCAUUAGUCUUUUAAUUGAAGGCUUGUAUGAAUGGUUGGACAAAAAGUAAGCUGUCUCAAUUAUAAUAAUUGAAUUUAACUUUUAAGUGAGAAGGCUUAAAUAGAUUAAGGGGACGAUAAGACCCUAUAAAGCUUGACAAUAAAUCGUUUAUAUUAUAAACUGUUAGUGUAACUUGAUUUUAAACGGUGUUUGUUGCGUUGGGGCGACGGGAAUAUAAAAGGUAACUGUUCUUAUAAUAUUUAAUAACAGAAAUAUCUGAAAAAUUAAUGAUCCUUUUUUAAAGAUCAUAAGAUUAAGUUACUUUAGGGAUAACAGCGUAAUCUUCUUUAAGAGUCCAUAUCGACAGGAAGGGUUGCGACCUCGAUGUUGAAUUAAGGUAUCCUUAUAAUGCAGCAGUUAUAAAGGAAGGUCUGUU